rnacentral:tRNA from 1 species
AGGAAAGAAGCUAAACCUACAGCAAUUAGUUGUUACCUAAUAGAAAGUGAGAAUUUUCACCUUUCCUA